rnacentral:rRNA from 1 species
GUGCCAGCAGCCGCGGUAAUACGUAGGGUGCGAGCGUUGUCCGGAAUUACUGGGCGUAAAGAGCUCGUAGGUGGUUUGUCGCGUUGUUCGUGAAAUCUCACGGCUUAACUGUGAGCGUGCGGGCGAUACGGGCAGACUAGAGUACUGCAGGGGAGACUGGAAUUCCUGGUGUAGCGGUGGAAUGCGCAGAUAUCAGGAGGAACACCGGUGGCGAAGGCGGGUCUCUGGGCAGUAACUGACGCUGAGGAGCGAAAGCGUGGGGAGCGAACAGGAUUAGAUACCCUGGUAGUCCACGCCGUAAACGGUGGGUACUAGGUGUGGGUUUCCUUCCUUGGGAUCCGUGCCGUAGCUAACGCAUUAAGUACCCCGCCUGGGGAGUACGGCCGCAAGGCUAAAACUCAAAGGAAUUGACGG